rnacentral:rRNA from 1 species
UGGCCUUGACAUACUAAGAACUUUCCAGAGAUGGAUUGGUGCCUUCGGGAACUUAGAUACAGGUGCUGCAUGGCUGUCGUCAGCUCGUGUCGUGAGAUGUUGGGUUAAGUCCGCAACGAGCGCAACCCUUUUCCUUAUUUGCCAGCGGGUAAUGCCGGGAACUUUAAGGAUACUGCCAGUGACAAACUGGAGGAAGGCGGGGACGACGUCAAGUCAUCAUGGCCCUUACGGCCAGGGCUACACACGUGCUACAAUGGUCGGUACAAAGGGUUGCUACCUCGCGAGAGGAUGCUAAUCUCAAAAGGCCGAUCGUAGUCCGGAUCGCAGUCUGCAACUCGACUGCGUGAAGUCGGAAUCGCUAGUAAUCGCGGAUCAGAAUGCCGCGGUGAAUACGUUCCCGGGCCUUGUACACACCGCCCGUCACACCAUGGGAGUUUGUUGCACCAGAAGUAGGUAGUCUAACCGCAAGGAGGACGCUUACCACGGUGUGGCCGAUGACUGGGGUGAAGUCGUAACAAGGUAGGCGUAGAUGA